GGGUUUUGUCUAGGCUUGGGUGGGCAGAGUGGAGCCCCCUAUCUCUUCCCGGUCCUGAUGAUAUUUUUUUUUGCUGGCUGCAGAGAUGGGUAACUUGUGUCGUUCCAGCUGGCAUGGAGCUGAUGGGCAUUGCAGACUUGCGGGCAGAAGUUGGUAUUGUCCUUGGAAGCUCCUCUGCAGCCCAGAGUGGGGUUAUGCAGGGAGGCUGGCAUGCACCAGGCCGAACCUCGCGUCUGAGAUAGUCUCUGGAGCGAAAGCGCUUUUUGGGGAGGAAACACGAGCAGACACCGUCUUCCAGUUCCCCUGUUUAUUCCCCAUUUGUACAAGACUUGGACUCUUUAUUCAAUGUGUGCAUGGAGUAUGUACACUGUUAAUAAACUAACUGUGCAGUAUGUAUGAAA